GAUGAACGCUGGCGGCGUGCCUAAUACAUGCAAGUCGAGCGAACGGACGAGAAACUUGCUUUUCUUAUGUUAGCGUCGGACGGGUGAGUAACACGUGGAUAACCUACCUAUAAGACUGGGAUAACUUCGUGAAACCGGAGCUAAUACCGGAUAAUCUUUUGAACCGCAUGGUUCAAAAGUUAAAGACGGUCUUGCUGUCACUUAUAGCUGGUGCCGCGCUGCAUUAGCUAGUUGGUAAGGUAACGGCUUACCAAGGCAACGAUGCAUAGCCGACCUGAGAGGGUGAUCGGCCACACUGGAACUGAGACACGGUCCAGACUCCUACGGGAGGCAGCAGUAGGGAAUAUUCCGCAAUGGGCGAAAGCCUGACGGAGCAACGCCGCGUGAGUGAUGAAGGUCUUCGGAUCGUAAAACUCUGUUAUUAGGGAAGAACAUAUGUGUAAGUAACUGUGCACAUAUUGACGGUACCUAAUCAGAAAGCAACGGCUAACUACGUG
rnacentral:rRNA from 1 species